rnacentral:lncRNA from 1 species
UCAGGGAAAGAGGGCCUUCUCUGAGGGGAGGCUGCCUCAGGGGCUUUGACAGGGGACUCUGCAUAACCACUGCUGGAAACUCGGAGGAUGAGAAGCAGUAGCUGGAGAAGAUAGGAAAGAAAACCCGGAAUGAGAAGGCUAUCCAGAGGAAGUUGACGGACUGAAGCUGAGCUGAUGAGAGGCAGUCCCCAAAGGCCGCCGAGAAAUGGGAUUGUGCCUGUCUUAAGAUUUCUUCACUUGGGCUGAAUUUACUAUUACUUUUUCCCUCUCAUUUUUAUUUGUUCUUUGAGAAUUCUGUCACUGUAUUUUGAUCUCAUUCAUCCUCCUUCCAUAGCUUUCCCCAGAUUAGUCUCUUCCCUGCUCGGCCAACUUUGUUUAAACGUAUGGAGUCCAGUUUGUGUUCCCCAUAUAUUCUUGGAUGGGUCCAACAUUCUUAGCCUGGUCUCUCUGAAGAGCAGACUUGCACGUACAGAAGAAAGUGCUGGAAACUUAUUGGAGAACAUUAUAAGGGAUGAUAUGAGAGUACUGGAUGAGAAAGAACAGGGCUGAAGAGAAGGAGUGGCUAUAAUCUCAGUGGAGGAAGGGGUCUUCAGAGUGGACCCCAGUCCUUAUUAUCUGUGGGGUUCUUCAGAAAAGAAGCUGGGACUUAGGUAA